AACGAACGCUGGCGGCAUGCCUAACACAUGCAAGUCGAACGAGACCUUCGGGUCUAGUGGCGCACGGGUGCGUAACGCGUGGGAACCUGCCCUUAGGUUCGGAAUAACUCCCCGAAAGGGGUGCUAAUACCGGAUAAUGUCUUCGGACCAAAGAUUUAUCGCCUUUGGAUGGGCCCGCGUUGGAUUAGCUAGUUGGUAGGGUAAAAGCCUACCAAGGCGACGAUCCAUAGCUGGUCUGAGAGGAUGAUCAGCCACACUGGGACUGAGACACGGCCCAGACUCCUACGGGAAGCAGCAGUGGGGAAUAUUGGACAAUGGGCGAAAGCCUGAUCCAGCAAUGCCGCGUGAGUGAUGAAGGCCUUAGGGUUGCAAAGCUCUUUUACCCGGGAUGAUAAUGACAGUACCGGGAGAAUAAGCGCCGGCUAACUCCGUG
rnacentral:rRNA from 1 species